rnacentral:rRNA from 1 species
AUACGUAGGGGGCGAGCGUUGUCCGGAAUGAUUGGGCGUAAAGGGCGCGUAGGCGGCCCGGUAAGUCUGGAGUGAAAGUCCUGUUUUUAAGAUGGGAAUUGCUUUGGAUACUGUCGGGCUUGAGUGCAGGAAAGGUAAGUGGAAUUCCCAGUGUAGCGGUGAAAUGCGUAGAGAUUGGGAGGAACACCAGUGGCGAAGGCGACUUACUGGACUGUAACUGACGCUGAGGCGCGAAAGUGUGGGGAGCAAACAGGAUUAGAUAACCUGGUAGUCCACACUGUAAACGAUGAAUGCUAGGUGUAGGGGGUGUCGACCCCUUCUGUGCCGCAGUCAACACAAUAAGCAUUCCGCCUGGGGAGUACGGCCGCAAGGUUGAAACUCAAAGGAAUUGACGGGG